rnacentral:rRNA from 1 species
AUUGAACGCUGGCGGCAGGCCUAACACAUGCAAGUCGAACGGUAGCACAGAGAGCUUGCUCUCGGGUGACGAGUGGCGGACGGGUGAGUAAUGUCUGGGAAACUGCCCGAUGGAGGGGGAUAACUACUGGAAACGGUAGCUAAUACCGCAUAACGUCGCAAGACCAAAGUGGGGGACCUUCGGGCCUCACACCAUCGGAUGUGCCCAGAUGGGAUAAGCUAGUAGGUGGGGUAAUGGCUCACCUAGGCGACGAUCCCUAGCUGGUCUGAGAGGAUGACCAGCCACACUGGAACUGAGACACGGUCCAGACUCCUACGGUAGGCAGCAGUGGGGAAUAUUGCACAAUGGGCGCAAGCCUGAUGCAGCCAUGCCGCGUGUAUGAAGAAGGCCUUCGGGUUGUAAAGUACUUUCAGCGGGGAGGAAGGCGGUGGAGUUAAUAACUUCACCGAUUGACGUUACCCGCAGAAGAAGCACCGGCUAACUCCGUGCCAGCCGCCGCGGUAA